AUGGCAGCAUGGUACUGUUACAGAAUGACAUUUCUGGAGUUGACAGGGCUAAUUGAUACGUGUAUACAAAAUGCCUCCUGUCUUCUGAUAAAACUGAUAACACCAACCAGCUACAGAUGUGAAAUGAAUGUGCUUGUAUAGCUACCCUUAUGAUCAAAACAAAACAAACUCGGUCACCUAAAUAUUUACAUUAAGACUCCAUUCCGAGACUCCAUUCCGAGACUCCACUCCAAGACCCCACUCCAAGACUCCACUCCAUGUUUUACAGUAUGCCAUUCAAAAUCGGACUCUGUACAUAGCAGGCGGGAAGUUCCGCCACACUGCUGGAUAUAGAAGACUGUUCAUUUUACUCUUGUGACAAGACUACAGUUUUCUAAGAGGAGCUUCAAGCACAGAAACGGGUUGGCGGCAAAGACAUGCAUCAGACCAACUGUUGAGUUUUAACCCUUGGCCAUGGGUCAGUACAAUGUAAAAGGAAUUGGAAACACGAGAAGCUUUUCUACAACAAGACUGUAGAAACUGAUCAGAGAGAUGCUGCUUUGGCCAACUGUCCAACAUCUACUGAAACAGAUAUAGCAAGCUUCAUAGGUUAAUAUUUGAAACAAACAUGCUCCAAGAAAGCUCUUGAGGGAGCAUGAGAGAGCGGAAUGAGCAGCGAGGCAAGCCACAACAGCUGAUAAAUCGGAUUAAACUGUAUGGGGGGAGU